rnacentral:lncRNA from 1 species
CAAUGCAUAAACAUUUGGAAAAAACUUGAUGUCAGACAGAUGGAGUGCUUCAUAAAUGGUAGAAGGAAGCUCUAUAUCUUUCCCUCUGUUUCUACUCGAUUCUCCAACAAUGAAGCUCAGCUGAGAGUGUCAGGAUUGGAACAUGAACAAAGUUAUCAGAAAAAACUGGACUACCACAACCAAAGAUGUCACAGUUGGCACACAAUUCUGAUAAGGUAAGCCAAGGUCAGGGAGUAAUGUUCUUUAAGACACAAUACUA